CUCUGCCUGCCGGCUCUCUGCCCGCCGGCCAUCCGCCGGCCGGACCUGGAACCUCCGCCUGCUGCCUCUCCUCUUGUCCUCCAUCACCAUCAGACCACCACGGCAGUAGGCACUAGGCACCACCGACCGAGAGGCAACAAAGUUGUAGUUACUUUCUGCCAUCAUGCUACAGUGGACAGCAGCAGCUUCUCCCGUAGUGCCGGUAGAUGAGUCCGAUGAGGAAGAAAAUUCUUAUGACAAGAAUGAUAUCAUGUCCGAGGAAGAUGGAUUCGGUGAUGGUCAUAUUGAGAUAUCCGAUGAUGGAAAUGACUAUAGGAGUUCUCUAAAGCCGGCGUUGGUGGAGGCGUUGGUGUGUGCUUCUAGCUGGAUCAAGGGUGCCCACAAUGACAACAAAGUUUCAUUGGGUGUGGUAUGGGCUAAUGUACAUCAUGCCUAGUUAGUAAAGAAAAGAU